AAGUUGUAACAAGGUCUCUGUUAGUGAACUAGCGAAGGGAUCAUUAUAGAGUUGCAAAACUCCUAUCACCAUUGCAAACUUACCUUAUAACCGUUGCUUUGGCAGGCGGCCCUAGGCUUCUGUUUUUACAGAUCCUUGGGGCCCUAUAGCCUGAUUGUCAGGUGCCUGCUAGAGGUUAUGCAACUAGACAUCGUUUAUAGCCUGUUAGAAUUUGUACUACCAAUUAGUUAAAACUUUCAACAACGGAUCUCUUGGUUCUA
rnacentral:misc_RNA from 1 species